AACUUAUUAAGAGAGGCGGAGGGAAAGGCCCUAUGAAGUCCGGCAACCAGCAUUAUGUAAUGUAUUGGUGCUAAAUCCUGCAGCAUUGUAGCUGAAAGAUGAGGU
rnacentral:ncRNA from 19 species